UACGUAGGGUCCAAGCGUUGUCCGGAUUUAUUGGGCGUAAAGAGUUCGUAGGUGGUUGCUUAAGUCUGAUGUUAAAUACCGAGCUUAACUUCGGCAUGGCAUUGGAAACUGGGCGGCUGGAGUCCGUCAGAGGUAACUGGAAUUCCUGGUGUAGCGGUGAAAUGCGUAGAUAUCAGGAGGAACACCCGUGGCGAAAGCGAGUUACUGGGACGGUACUGACACUGAGGAACGAAAGCCUGGGGAGCGAAAGGG
rnacentral:rRNA from 1 species